GGCCCGGUGGUGAAGUGGCUAGCACAUCUCAUCCCAAGUGCAUAACUAUCCUACUUGGGCGCGCCUUCACUUGCCGAUACCACCGAUAUUGAAGGUGAUGACAAUGUGAAAUGAGAAGGUCGUAGGUUCGAUUCCUACCCGGGCUC